rnacentral:rRNA from 1 species
GACGAACCGUGCGAACGUUGUUCGGAAUCACUGGGCUUAAAGGGCGCGUAGGCGGCCGGGUUGGUCGUGGGUGAAAUCCCCCAGCUUAACUGGGGAACUGCCUACGAUACUGCCUGGCUCGAGGGAGGAAGGGGCGGUCGGAACUGUCGGUGGAGCGGUGAAAUGCGUUGAUAUCGACAGGAACGCCGGUGGCGAAAGCGGACCGCUGGCCCUCUUCUGACGCUGAGGCGCGAAAGCCAGGGGAGCGAACGGG